AUUCUGGAAAAAAAUCUCAGCUUGCUGCAGAGAUUUUGACAGCUGGUACAGACAAAGAACUCUCAUACAUGUGUGACAAGAAUGACUUUCAAAUGCCUUGUGCCUGCUUCCCAACCACAAAGAAUUUUCUGGAAUGUGAUACAUAACAUCUCUUUCAUCUGUGGGAAAAGAGAGCAAGGUGAGCGGAGGAGGGAAGUUUGUAGAGUGGCUAAUUAAAUCUCUUGCUGUAUGGAAGCCAGAGCUAAAAGUGGCAACUUGGAUGGUUUGAAAUUAAGGAUUGAAUAAAUCUGUCAUCAAAAGCUU